UUUGGUAACCUAAUCAAUUCUCUCAAUCAAUUGAAGACAAAUUGAUUUCUCUUUAAAUCUCAAAACCUAAUCAAAUUGAUUUCUGCAGGCUAUCAUCUUUCACCCACAUUCAAUUUUACAAACCCUAAAUCUCAUCUACGGCUUCAUCUUUAGCGAUUGUACUUGGCCAUACCCACUUCAGAAAUCCCUAAAACUCAAUCAUUCGAACUCUCAUCUAGCUUUCAUUGAAUUCAGUGCUAAGAACCCAAAAUCUAUAGAACCGGGCGAACAUUGAUAUGAUAGUGGCCUAUAUUAGGUUGGCCAUAGUUCAAGCUGGAGGUUUUCAGAUCAUCUUUAUGCUUUUGAGAUCUGAUUCAUACAUUUUCUUCACUACAGAGAGAUUUUAAUUUUAUUGAUCAUACAAGUAUUCCCGGAUGGAAAGAAUAAGGUUCUUAAUGUUUUCGUUACUUUUAGUGUGUUAUGUGUUGUUUUUUUGGGCUGAUGAUUUGUAAUUUGGGAUGAUCUUAUAUGAGUUUUGUUUAGAUAAAGUUGAUUGGUAAAGUUUGAGAUGCAUUGUUUGAAAGAAGCAAUCUGAAUCAUCUCUCUCAGAUCCUAUAUCGCAUAUGCUAAUGAUUUUUAAUCGACUUUGGUGAUUCGACUUGGUCACACUUUGCCACAAACGGGUCAAAUGGUUAAAUUUUCAUGGGCUUUUGGAAAUAAUGUCCAAGAAUUCAAUGAUUUGAAACGAGGAUCCUGCACUUCGUCAGGAAAUCGACCUUGAAGAUGAAAGAGUUGCAGGCACAUUGCAUUCUGUAUAGAUUGUGGAGUUUUAAUUGUAAAGGUUUACACCUGUGUUGCAAAACUCAAAUUAUAUGGCCUUUUGCUACAUCUUGCCGUAUAGCAUAGGCAUUAGUUAUCCGAUGAGAAACCAAAGGGCAAGGCAACCAUACAUUAUCAGCUUCGGCUUGCAGGUGGUAACUUUGUUCUAAGUGGUGACAAUCAUGGGAGAAGGAUAUCAACAUGAAAGAAAUGGAACAACAGUUGCAUGAGCAUGUGGGUCUACUAAGACAGAAUGAAUUAAUAAGAAUAAAUGCCAAGAAGGAGCUUAAAGAAAUGGAACUACAGUCACGAUUGGAUUGGCCUCAUAUGAUGAGGUAACAUUUCACAAUAAUAAUCAAAUAGAUAUAAUAAUUUACUACUUAUAUAUUUUUUUGGAACAAGGUGACUCUAUAUCACUGAGACAACCUUUAUCCACAUGCCAUUAAUCUCUUUUUCAAAAUUUGGAUCUCAAACCUUUUAUUUGGACUUUGUUUUAUAAGCAUUUAACGCCCCGUUUGCGGUAUGCGCCUAUAAUGUAUAUAUGUGUGGGCGUUCGGGGUGCAAAAGUGAAAGUACACUAAUUUUAACAUUAUUUUACUAAUUUCGUGAAAGUAACGUUAAAAAGGGAGAUGGUUAAUUAUGCAUCAUGUGGUGGCGUUGAUAGCCGAAAGACAAGGGGGUACAUGCACUAAUCGGCCUUUGUCUCAAUUGUUGAGUGUUAUGUGCCUUAUGUCCAAAGCUUGACGCAAAACUACUAUUUAGCCAGGGGUCUCACUGGAAGCAGCCGCUUUAUUCCUAUGGGGUAGAGGUAAGGCGGUCUACAUCUUACCUUUCCUAUACCCUACCUUAGAUUUGCUAUUGGCGGGAUUUACUAAGUAUGAUGAUGAUGAUGAUCAUUUUAUACGCAUUUAAAAUGUCAAUGUGGGUUAAUCGAUUUAUUGCUUUAGUUUAUAUAUGCAUCUAAAAUGUCAAUCAUUCUUUAUUCUUUAUGAAUUCCUUCUUCAAUUUAUUAUUUUAGGUUAAGAAUAACUAUUUUAUAACAAGUGAAAAAUAUGUAUAAUGAAGCUUACAAAGUAUCAUGUGAAAAAUAUGUUAUAUUUUUCCUAGGCUAUGGCCUCUGCACCUAUCUUUAUUCUUUCAUGCUUGACUAUGUAUAAUGAACUAUGUAUAUUGUCAUAAUUUCACAUAAAAGAAAUAGCGAUAUCUAAUUCUCUUGGUGUUAAUGAGCUGGUGAUUCCUGCAAUACCUGAACUUUACAAAACAUGGACCAAAGUGCUUGGCUUCAAGCAACUUGAUGAAUCGUCGAGGCAUGCAAUGAAGGGUAUGCGUUUGAUAGUGUUUCCUGUUAAAGAUAUAUGCUUCGCCAACCUCUCCUAAAGAAUCAGUUUGCUGAUAAGAAUCUUAUUUCAGUGCAGGUUGAGAUAAAGAUGGCUGAGCCGAAAAGGUUGGUGUCGAUUUCUCAUACGACAACCAUUCACGUUGUGGUAGUGUUAUCAAGUCAUACGGUGGUGGAUUUGGUAGGGGUUGGUGGUUAUGGCGGAAAAUCAGAGAGGGUAUAAUGAUUAUGGCAGUGGUUAUCACAGUUAUGUGGGAGGUUAUAAUGGUGGUUCUACAGUGGUUAUGGUGGAUAUGGGUAUGGGUUUGGGUUUGGUGGAUAUGGUUACGGCGGUGAUGGAUAUGUAGUUGGUUUUAGUGGUUAUGGAGGGAAUGCUGACUAUGGUGGAGGUCGGGGUUAUGGUACUGGUAGUGGAGGAGGUGGUGGUGUUGGUGGCAAAUGAUUUCAUAAGGGAGCUUGUGCUGCUGCUGGAUAUGGAUAUGGAUGGUAGUAAAGGGUAUGAUAAUGACAAUGGUGGCAGUGGUGGUGGAAGGCAUCAUCCUUAUCGGAAGUGAGAUGAUAUGAUAAUAGCAACUUAUUAUAUCAUCAAAGUUCGAGGACUUUGUAGCUUUUGUCAUCUGCUUUGUUCUAUGUGAAUCUUCUUGACCUGUGAUCUAUUAGUAACUUAGAAACUGAGUCAUGGAGUCGAAUUUGUUACCUACAUAACUAUCUUCUGUAUUGCC
rnacentral:lncRNA from 1 species